rnacentral:rRNA from 1 species
AGCGACUAAGCGUACACGGUGGAUGCCCUGGCAGUCAGAGGCGAURAAGGGCGUGCUAAUCUGCGAUAAGCGUCGGUAAGGUGAUAUGAACCGUUAUACCCGACGAUACCCGAAUGGGAAACCCGGUGCAAUCCGUUGCAUCAUCGCAACAUGAAUACAUAGUGUUGCGAGGCGAACCGGGGGAACUGAAACAUCUAAGUACCCCGAGGAAAAGAAAUCAACCGAGAUUCCCCCAGUAGCGGCGAGCGAACGGGGAGGAGCCCGGAACCAUCAUCAGCGGUUGCGUCAGUGGAAGCGUCUGGAAAGUCGCACGAUACAGGGUGAAAGUCCCGUACACGAAGAUACAGCCGUUGUGAGUUCGAAGAGUAGGGCGGGACACGUGGUAUCCUGUCUGAAUAUGGGGGGACCAUCCUCCAAGGCUAAAUACUCCUGACUGACCGAUAGUGAACCAGUACCGUGAGGGAAAGGCGAAAAGAACCCCGGCGAGGGGAGUGAAACAGAACCUGAAACCGUGUACGUACAAGCAGUGGGAGCCUCAUUUAUGGGGUGACUGCGUACCUUUUGUAUAAUGGGUCAGCGACUUGUAUUCUGUAGCAAGGUUAACCGAAUAGGGGAGCCGAAGGGAAACCGAGUCUUAACCGGGCGUUAAGUUGCAGGGUACAGACCCGAAACCCGGUGAUCUAGCCAUGGGCAGGUUGAAGGUUGGGUAACACUACCUGGAGGACCGAACCGACUGAUGUUGAAAAAUCAGCGGAUGACCUGUGGCUGGGGGUGAAAGGCCAAUCAAACCGGGAGAUAGCUGGUUCUCCCCGAAAGCUAUUUAGGUAGCGCCUCGUGAAUUCAUCUCCGGGGGUAGAGCACUGUUUCGGCUAGGGGGCCAUCCCGGCUUACCAACCCGAUGCAAACUGCGAA